rnacentral:tRNA from 1 species
UGGCUCAGCUUGGCUAGAGCGCUUGAUUUGGGAUCAAGAGGUCGCAGGUUCGAAUCCUG